rnacentral:pre_miRNA from 1 species
AGUGGAAUAGCUGGGUCAAAUGGUGGUCCCGUUCCAAGUUUUCUAAGGAAUCUCCAUACUGCUUUCCAGAUUGUUUGCACCAAUUUGCAGUCCCUCUAGCAAU